rnacentral:rRNA from 1 species
GCUUAACGUUGCGCGUGCAGUGGGUACGGGCUGACUAGAGUGCAGUAGGGGAGUCUGGAAUUCCUGGUGUAGCGGUGAAAUGCGCAGAUAUCAGGAGGAACACCGGUGGCGAAGGCGGGACUCUGGGCUGUAACUGACACUGAGGAGCGAAAGCAUGGGGAGCGAACAGGAUUAGAUACCCUGGUAGUCCAUGCCGUAAACGUUGGGCACUAGGUGUGGGGGACAUUCCACGUUCUCCGCGCCGUAGCUAACGCAUUAAGUGCCCCGCCUGGGGAGUACGGUCGCAAGGCUAAAACUCAAAGGAAUUGACGGGGGCCCGCACAAGCGGCGGAGCAUGCGGAUUAAUUCGAUGCAACGCGAAGAACCUUACCAAGGCUUGACAUACACUGGACCGUUCUGGAAACAGUUCUUCUCUUUGGAGCUGGUGUACAGGUGGUGCAUGGUUGUCGUCAGCUCGUGUCGUGAGAUGUUGGGUUAAGUCCCGCAACGAGCGCAACCCUCGUUCUAUGUUGUCAGCACGUGAUGGUGGGAACUCAUAGGAGACUGCCGGGGUCAACUCGGAGGAAGGUGGGGAUGACGUCAAAUCAUCAUGCCCUUUAUGUCUUGGGGCUUCACGCAUGCUACAAUGGCUGGUACAGAG